rfam:Brachypodium distachyon strain Bd21 chromosome 2, whole genome shotgun sequence.
GAAGUACUCCCUCUGUCCCAUAUUAAGUGACUCAAAUUUUGUCUAAAAAUGGACGUAUCUACAUACUAAAACACGUCUAGAUACAUGUAAUAUUUCGGCACUUAAUAUGGGACGGAGGGAGUAGUUU